rnacentral:rRNA from 1 species
UUUAGUCAGGCAACGAGCGAGACCCAUGCCCACUGUUGCUAACGCGUCCCGCGAGGGAUGGCGAGUACACGGUGGGGACCGCUGGCGCUAAGUCAGAGGAAGGGGUGGUCGACGGUAGGUCAGUAUGCCCCAAAUAUCCCGGGCUACACGCGGGCUACAAUGGGCAGGACAAUGGGCUACUACACCGAAAGGUGGCGUCAAUCUCUUAAACCUGUCCUUAGUUCGGAUUGAGGGCUGAAACUCGCCCUCAUGAAUAUGGAAUCCCUAGUAAUCGCGUGUCACCAUCGCGCGGUGAAUACGUCCCUGCUCCUUGCACA